CCUACGGGAGGCAGCAGUGGGGAAUAUUGGACAAUGGGCGAAAGCCUGAUCCAGCAAUGCCGCGUGAGUGAUGAAGGCCUUCGGGUCGUAAAGCUCUUUUACCAGGGAUGAUAAUGACAGUACCUGGAGAAUAAGCUCCGGCUAACUCCGUGCCAGCAGCCGCGGUAAUACGGAGGGAGCUAGCGUUGUUCGGAAUUACUGGGCGUAAAGAGUACGUAGGCGGUUAUUCAAGUCAGAGGUGAAAGCCCGGGGCUCAACCCCGGAACUGCCUUUGAAACUAGAUAACUAGAGUCUUGGAGAGGUUAGUGGAAUUCCGAGUGUAGAGGUGAAAUUCGUAGAUAUUCGGAAGAACACCAGUGGCGAAGGCGACUAACUGGACAAGUACUGACGCUGAGGUACGAAAGCGUGGGGAGCAAACAGGAUUAGAUACCCUGGUAGUCCACGCCGUAAACGAUGAUAACUAGUUGUUCGGUCACUUGGUGACUGAGUGACGCAGCUAACGCAUUAAGUUAUCCGCCUGGGGAGUACGGUCGCAAGAUUAAAACUCAAAUGAAAUUGACGGNUGAGAGUUGCGAGACGACACGAGGAGAG
rnacentral:rRNA from 1 species